CAUUGACACACACUUCUCUCUCUCUUUCGACACACACUUCUAUCUCUCUUUCUCUCUCUCUGGAUAACCAUUUCUAGAUCUAAGAUCUUCAUAACUAACCACCAAUAUUCUUCUUCUUAUCAAAAUCAUUCAUAAUCAACCACCAAAACUAUAGAUCUACAAGUGUAACAACCUGCCAACCUGGUGAUGGUCGAUGAUCGAUGUUGAAGAUGAUGUGAUGGCGGUUCCAGAUCCGGUUGAAGAUGAUCGAAAUCAUCUUCCAGAUCCGGUUGAAGAUGAUCGAUUUUGAAGAUGAUGUGAUGGCGGUUCGAUUUUGAAGAUGACCCAAAAGAUGAUCGAUGUUUAAACAUGAUGUUCCAGAUCUAGAAGAUCCUCCAGGUCCAUAAUUUCAGAGUUAACUAGGAUCAUACCAGGUCUUUUGAGGAACAUCAACAACCUGCAAGUUGAACUGUUUACCCGUGAGCAAGAAAUUCGGAAGAAGAAGAGGGUUAUAUGGUUACUGAUAUUAGCGUUAGUGAUUGGCAGCUUACUUGUUAGCAUUGUUUGUUGUGAUUGGCAGCUUACUUGUGAUUACUUGUUAGCAUUGUAUGUUAAUGACAUUUUCGGUAGUAUGUACUUGUUGAUGUUUGGUUGAAUAUGAGAAUUUUCUAUGUUAUGAAUUUUUUGGUUUUGUUUUUAACAUGUUACAUUUUUCCCCUGAGAUUUAUGUAGACUUUUGCUGUGUUGAAUCUGAGAAUUUUAUAUGUUAUGGAUUUUUUGGUUUUGUUUUUACCAUGUUACAUUUUAUUUUUGCCUCAGAUUUUUGUACA